rnacentral:rRNA from 1 species
UACGUAGGGUGCAAGCGUUGUCCGGAAUUAUUGGGCGUAAAGAGCUUGUAGGCGGUUUGUCGCGUCUGCUGUGAAAUUUCGGGGCUCAACCCCGAACUUGCAGUCGAUACGGGCAGGCUAGAGUGUGGUAGGGGAGAUCGGAAUUCCUGGUGUAGCGGUGAAAUGCGCAGAUAUCAGGAGGAACACCGGUGGCGAAGGCGGGUCUCUGGACAGUUCCUGACACUGAGGCACGAAGGCCAGGGGAGCAAACGGG